AAGAUGGCCAGGAUUGCUGCUGGACGGAAGUUGUCUAGUGACAUUGACCGUGUCGGAAAAUGCUGAGAAAGACCAACGUUUUUUAAAAAGAAGAUGGUCAGGGACUCUUUGCUGCUGAAUGGAAGCUGUCUAGAGCUGCUAGAGUGUCACUCUGGUUGCCACCUUCUCCCAUAAGGACACGUUGACUGAGGGAGAUAUUGAGCCCUGCCCUGACUCUGCACACAACAAAGGAGUGU